rnacentral:rRNA from 1 species
AUUGAACGCUGGCGGCAUGCCUAACACAUGCAAGUCGAACGGGGCAGCAAUGCCUAGUGGCGGACGGGUGAGGAAUACGUAGGAAUCUGCCCUUAAGUGGGGGAUAACCAGGGGAAACCCUGACUAAUACCGCAUGAUCUCUUCGGAGCAAAGAGGGGGACCGCAAGGCCUCUCGCUUCUGGAUGAGCCUACGUCUGAUUAGCUAGUUGGUAGGGUAAAGGCCUACCAAGGCGACGAUCAGUAACUGGUCUGAGAGGAUGAUCAGUCACACCGGAACUGAGACACGGUCCGGACUCCUACGGGAGGCAGCAGUGGGGAAUAUUGGACAAUGGGCGAAAGCCUGACCCAGCAACGCCGCGUGAAGGAUGAAAUCCCUCGGGAUGUAAACUUCGCAAGAACGGGAAGAAUAAGUCUGCGCGAAUAUCGCAGGCGAUGACGGUACCGUUUGUAAGCUCCGGCUAACUCCGUGCCAGCCGCCGCAGUAAUAC